rnacentral:misc_RNA from 1 species
UGCACCAAAUAUAGCAAAAAAAAUUUUAAAAUGCCCGGGGGGCAUGCCCCCGGACCCCCCUAGCUGUGACUAGAACUAUGGAAACUGGUGACCCAAACCUUCUGGAUCUGCCCCUGACUGCAGGUGUGUAGUAGUACGUGAUAUCUUAAAAAUGUGUUUUUAUUCACUCGUGAGAAUAGUAUGUACAUUGUUUGUAUUGUAUCAGGGGUGAAUAAUGACAAUUUUUCAUUAUUCACCCCUGAUUUCAUGUAUAUCAAGAGUACAUAAUAUAGAUUAUAUACAUAAUGUAUGUAUUGAUGUAUACAUUGCUCUCAGAUUCUCCAAAGCAGCCCUCGUAAUAUGAAUAUUGGCCGGUAGGUGGCGCUGGUAUCAGUUUGUAAUGCUCAGUGUUGACUGUACCACAGUACAAUUCUUUAUAUUGUAAUAUUAUUAUUUUCUUAUAUGCGAGCUAGUUGGCUGCCAUCUAUACGAGGUUAUGUGUACUUGGGCCUCGUGUACUUGCUAUGAUUUGGCGAUGUACUGCUGAGGUUUCGCUACUGCGAAAAUUCAUUUCUAAAUCGUUCUAAAUUAAGAUUCGUGAACUUGAGGAUGUCGGACUCGUUCAGUCUAGGAUAACGUUCAACGUUUAAUAAAUACAUGAAAUUCAAAUAGUUCGGGAGACUUCGGGUCACGCUGCCUUGUAGACUUCCUCUUCCUGGUAAUGGCGUGUGGUAAUUCGGUUGCUUGAAUCUCGCUCUGCCAAAGUCACAGAAUUACUCCAUAAAUAGGAGUUAAGAGUUACAAAUCAGAGGACUAGUAAGAGGGCGUUGACUGAUUGAGGCAUAUAGAGGUGACGCUACUUCUUCAGGAAGUCGCAGUCGGGGUGAUCGUCUCGGGGUAGAUAAAACAAGAUGGCGGACAGCGCGCCAGCGUCAGCCGAGCCGCCGAAGGAGAAGCAGCCGCUUGCUGUAAAUGACGUCCAGCACGACACAACGUCUCCAGAGAAGGUGGCGCUCAAAGCAGGCGAGAGCAUCGUGUCCUACGCUGGUCGCCGUGGCGAUGUUGACGGAGGCUACGCGUGGGCCAUCCUCACUUCUGUCAUCAUACAGUUGUUCUUCAUGUUCUACGUGAUGAACGCAUUCCCGGUGCUGUUCCUUGAACUCCACGACUACUUCGACGCUGGUCGCGGCACAAUCGCGUGGAUCGGAUCCGUGCAGAUGGCCACCGUGUUCAUGAUCGGUCCUUUCAGUAACUUGGCAACACAAAGAUUUGGAGUGAGGUGGUGCAUGAUAGCUUCUGGUAUUGUUGCAACCCUCGGACAAGCCAUCUCCUUUUUUACCACUGACCAUUAUUUCCUAUUCAUAUCAUAUGGAGUUAUGACAGGAAUCGGUCUAGGCGGAUCCCACCUACCGGCACUCUACUCGGUCGGGCUCUACUUCGAGAAGCAUCGCUACGUUGUCACGGCGAUGGCGUUCGCCGGUGGCGCCACCUCUGUGAUGAUCGCCGGGCCGUUGACGAACUUUCUGAACGAGAGCCUCGGCUGGCGCGGCACGUGUCUGAUCAACGCGGGCAUGUGCAUGCAGAUCAUUGUAGCCGGCGCGCUGCAGCGGCCCAUGCGCCUCAACGAUCGCAAGAGCAAGGUGACGCUGCGCGAGAUCUUUGCGAUGCAUCUCUUCAAGGAGCCGAAGAUGUCGCUGUACACGUUGAACACGUUCCUCUGGAGUCAGGGCCUGAUGAUCGUGUUGGUGUUGAGUAUCGACUAUGCGGUGUCGACCGGCGUGCCGCGCACGCAGGCCGCCUGGCUGAUGACAACGAUGGGAAUAUGCACUGUGAUUGUGCGCGUCGUUAUAGCCUUCAUCGGACACGUGCCCCACGCGACCGCGUGGAUUUUCAACAUAGGUUCAAUAGCUCACGGUGCCUGCGGAGUGCUACUGCUAGCAUGUAAUCAUAUCAUAUACUACCACGUCAUCCUAGGAGCUUUCGGCAUUUCUUACGGCAUUAAGAUUGCUGUGCUUGCUAUGCUCACGAUGGAUAUGUUUGGAUUGCACAAUUUCCUAGCAGUCUACUCAAUGCAGAUGUGUGCCAUAGGGUUUGGCAGCAUGAUAGGGAUUCCAUUGGCAGCGUGGGCAUACGAUGUCACUGGGAGCUACGUGGUAGGAUUUGUCAUUUCUGGAAUCCUGGUCAUGGGUGCUGUCGUACUCUUCUUCAUUGUCAUGCAUCUAGAGCAGAAGGAGCAUAAGCAAGGCAGAGACAAGCUGGAAAACAACACAGGCGAAUACAUCACGCCGGUCAUGCAGGAAAUGUUGUCGGAGCAAGUUACGUCCAUCUAAUAGAUGCUUGGUGGAGUUAGUGAUAUCGUCCAACAUUCUACAACGUCUCAAUGUCAAGGCGCAAGCAUUUCCGAAAAAUGUCGAUC